GGCUGCGAGACACAGUUGCAGCAAUUUCCUCGGAAGUUACGACGCGGAACACCGGCCCGGAACGGUAUGGUAAGCGACGGUUGCUCUGGAGCCGUUAAGAGAGGUCGAAUCACCGAAGGAAGUGUAAAAGGCAAAGGAAAACGAGAAAAGAAGAUGUUCGACGAUCGAGCUGCUAGGAGGUUGCUCUCUCAGCUGCCGCUUUUUUACAACCUUCGAAGAAUUCUUCGGAGAAUACGAGUAUCUAUAUGUGAGAAUUUCCUACCGUUCUACUUCCCGCCAUUCUACCAACUAUACUCUCACGGAAACGUUUCAGUUUUUCUCCUUGGCAACGCGAACAGCAAACCUCUUUCCUUGCUCCAAACAACUCGCCCUCGUGGUUCGUUCGAUUUUAUUCCAGCUCGCAAAUAUUGAUCGAUUGCUUUCGAACGAUCAGUUUACCGCUUGAGAAUAACAAUUCGAUACUCUAUCCCAGUGACAUCGAUAUAACUUCCGAUCAGGCAUACGAUCCAUCGAGAAAAACUAUUCGUCGAACGAUCACCACCUUUUACGUUGUCAUGUUCAUCGAUUCCUCGAAGAUAGAUAUUAUUCGUUGGAAAAUCGAUAAUUUUCGUCAUCAGAAAGGUGCUAGAGUUUCUUUCUAAUGGAUGACAUCGAUCCGCGAAUUAUUUAUUAUUAUCCGCGGGUUAUUUCGUAUUACUUUUGUGUAUAUAUAUUACAUUUUUAUGUGCAGAAUAUUUUGUAUAACUAAACAAACUGUAGCUCUGAAAUAGAAGAUAGAAAAGAAAAACGUAACGCAUUGUACUCUUGCGUUUAUGUUUUCCUUCUCUUUCGUACGAUAAGUCGUAUAAAAUUAAAAUUAAAAUACCUUUCAAAGUAACCAUUUCUCGACCUGAGCGCCAUAAUACCUUUUUAUAGAGCAUAAAAAGAUACAUCGAUUAACGUAUUAAAAAAAGUUGAAAGUUCCACUUACAAAGAUAAUGGCGACCUUCAAAUCGUGAAAAGAAAAUCUUCAUCAGACCAUGCAUCAUUUGAAAUUUUGUUUUAGAAAAAGUUCCAGGACUAUGAUUUAGUCUGUAGUUGCGUGAGUCACUUCGUAUAUUAUAGAUUAUUAUGUACCAUCUUUUUCAUCAAUUGCACCAUUUAGUAUUAUUGCGCACCAUGCGGACAAUCAUUCAGUUAAUGGGUAUUAGCGCAGGCGUCUGUUGCACUACAUAAGUAAUAGUCUGCAAGAAGAAUCUAGGCUACUCAGCUGCACCUGGGAUACAAGUAACUAUUCCGACUUUCCGUCAGUCGCAGUUUAAGCUUUGCACCAGCUGCAUCGUCUCUGUUCCUCGCGUGCAAUUCUAAUCGCUCCUCUUUGUGCACUUAUCGAGCUCUCAGCGUAGUCAGUUUAAUGUCAGUAGUGUUCCUCAAAGUCGAUGGAUAUGAAGUCAAAAUGCAAUACGGAUUCGAAUUCGGAUACAAACCAGAAUAUCUCCGGAAAUCGAGAAGCAACGAGCGAACGAUCCAGGUUAGUUUUCAAGGUCGUAUGAAAUAAUCCCGUUAUUUGCUAAUAUCAGUAAAAAUCGCAUAUUCUAACUCGACCAUAUGUGCAAUCAUAUGUAAACGUAUUUUCAAUGAAAGGAAGAGAAAAGAAGAUUGAUAUACAUAUAUAACAAUCGAACGGUUACCAUUCAGCGAUCCAGUACAACGAUAGAGAGAUAUUAUUGCACAUAGAUGUAUGUAUAUUGAGUGUCACAUAUCGAUAUCCGUGCGAAUGCGCACUGACAGUAUUUCUCGUUGCAAUGUGCGCGCGCACUAAAAUACCCCCUCGUACUUUAGUACCAGUCCACACCCCCGACGAAAACGAUGGAAUUAUCGAUCGCGUUGCUAUUCAACCUAAGAACUUUUCGCUAGCUGACAGUUCACCGUAGAGACGGAUUUUCGAGGAAGGAAAACACGCGUCGUUUCGAUUACAGGAUGAGACCAGACUGAACUGUAUUACGUGUUAACGUGUCUGUGACCUGUGAUUUGUGAUCUGUGAUAAAAGAAAUUCGCGCGUUAAAUCUACGACAAUUUUCUUUCACGGACAGGCUCGACUCAUGAUGCAAUAUCCAAACAUCGAUAUACAAGAGGGAAGAAGACUCCGUAGCGUACGAAGAAGACUUUUUCAAGACGAAGACGAUGAUAACGAAACGGAAUCGGUACGAAAUUCUGGUGUCGAGGACAACUGUUUUUUUGAA